rnacentral:rRNA from 1 species
GACGGAGGAUGCAAGUGUUAUCCGGAAUCACUGGGCGUAAAGCGUCUGUAGGUGGUUUAAAAAGUCCACUGUUAAAGAUUGAAGCUUAACUUCAAAAAUGCCGUGGAAACUUUUAAACUUGAGUAUGAUAGGGGUAGAGGGAAUUUCCAGUGGAGCGGUGAAAUGCGUAGAUAUUGGAAAGACCACCAAUGGCGAAGGCACUCUACUGGGCCAUUACUGACACUGAGGGACGAAAGCUAGGGGAGCAAAUGGG